AUCGGCGACGGUCUUUCUACGGUCAAAGUCAAAACGGUCUUCAGAGCCGUUACCACUCGGACGCCCGCGGCUUGCAUAUAUAUAUAUUUCUCCCCCGCUGUCACUCUCUUAUUCCGCACAUUCCCACAGCGUUCUCCAUCAACGGCCUCUUACCUCUUGAGUGUUCGUUUGAUCAUUACCAGGCAAUCGGAGGAAGAGAGAGCGGAAUCGAAAGAAGUUUCUGGCCGCGUCUCGGUGAUGAAAAACAGAGAAGCAGAGGAGGACGGCGAAUUCUGUACGUCAUUGAGAUUGGUUAUAUGAUAACAGAGGGGGGAAGAACGCAGCAGUUGCUCUUGAUGAAGUGAUUGCUUGGGCAAAAUUAAAGCAAUUGGUCCUGUCAUUGUGGCCGGUGGGAUUUUGGCAUCUGCUAGGAAGACUGGACGGUCCGGUUCAUGUAAAGUUUGUAGCAAACAGGGGUGCAUAAAAUAUAACCACACAAUCCACAGAGAUGGAAAUGGAGGACGUAGAUGAACACAAUAAAGUUGAGGCCAUUCUACAAGGAAUCCAACUCCGGUUGCUACUUUCAACGCUCUAUCAUGUAAGUAAUUUUCUACUUGACAUCAUGAACUACCAUAUGUGUGACUGCAAUGUUAUGGUCCUAAUAAGGUUAGGUUACUAUGUUUAAUCUUUAUUAUGUCUUUGUUUCAAGAGUAAAUGGUUAAACUGCGAUAAAGGAUUGUAAUGAAUGUAGUUGAAAGAGGUUCAUGAGCAAGGAAUUAAGUUACAUUUAUGGGUGUUUUAGGUGUUAGGAAUAGUUUUUCAUUUUUUAUGUUUCAAAGGAAAAGUGAAGCAUUCGUUGAGAUCAAAUGAAAGAAUACAAGAGGAACACUAGAAAACCACCCAAGGAGGAGCCCAAUUGACCUGAAAAAAAUGCUCCAAUCAAACAAAAUAAGACUUAAGGGGAAUUACAAAAAAUUGUAAACAUCCUCCCACACAGACGUGUGAUCUAAUAAGGCUACACCUCACCCCCAAGGUCUUCCAAUCUCUUUAAAAAUCCUCUGGUUUCUUUCAACCUAAAAAUCCCAUAAAAUUGCAGAAAACAACCUCUUCCUCUUGAAAAGGGGAUGAAGAAGAAGCUCUUCCCCCAUGGAACUACAACCUGUAGGUUGGGCAAGACCACAGGAGAGAUGGUUUAGAUCCUCGGUCAUUCCUUACUAAAGAUACAACACUAGGGCCUAAUCUAAAGGGGUGAAUUCCUUUUUGUUUAAAGAGUUCUUGUGAUUCUUUGAAUUGGAGAUCAUGAUUAAGCAACUAAGGAGAUUUAUUUUAAGGCAAGUGAGAAAAAGGGGUUUUAAAGAUUUGCACUACAACAAUAGAUGUGAGUAAAGUACGAUUGGUAAAGUACAACAUUUUAUUUGUUGAGAUUAUGGUUAUGUAUUCAAGGAAUAAGAAAGAUACUUCGUGAGGAAAGAAAGAUUGUAAAGAUCAGCAAAUUGGAUGAAGUUUUAAAAGAAUAGACAAAGAUAUAUCCUUAAGAUUGGAUUGAAUUGGUCUAUAAGCUGUAUAAUGGACAAUCUUUUGGGUUUGUUGAGUUUAAUGAUUGAAGAGUUCUUGCCAUUCUUUUGAUGAAAGAUUAACAAAAGGCGCAUGAAGUGUUAAGAUAAUGCACAUAGACCUUAGAAUUGGCGGUGAGUUUCGAUGGAGAUUCAUAUGAGAAGAUAAAAACAAAGAUUAUGUGCAUAAAAGGGGGAAGAUAGAAAUUGCCAAUGAUUUGUCAUGGAGAUUCAUAUGAGAAGAUAAAAGUGAAGAUUAUGUACAUAAAAAGUGGAAAUACAGAAUUGCCGAUGAUUUAUCGUGGCGAUUCAUAUCAGAAAUUUUUUGUGGAUGGAUGGAUCGUAAAAAGAGGUUUGUGAAAUGUUAAAGGAAGGAAGCACUAGAAUAAAAGAAUUUGGGUAAUUGGUACUAAAGAAAAGUUACUUUCUAUUUGGUUUAUAAGUUAGAUACUAGUCAAUCUCUUAGAUUUUGUGAGUUCGAUGGUUAUGCAUGUAAAAGGAAGGAUAGAAGAUAAAUUUGGAUAUGAGAUUUGUGGGUUAAAAGUGUGAGAUUGGACAACCAAGUUCAUAAUGGACCAUCUUUUAAAUUUUUUGUUGAUGGUUAUGUAUGA